rnacentral:lncRNA from 1 species
CGCUCCUUCCGUCGGUGGUUUCUUCCUUCCUGCCUUGUCCCGCACCUUUCGCGACAUGGGGAAGAUCUUCCUUUUCGCCAGCGCCACCUGAGGAUUUCCCGGAGCCGCCCCCCGCGAUGGAGGACGAUCAGGAGCUGGAGAGGAAAGCCAUAGAAGAAUUGUUAAAGGAGGCAAAGCGUGGGAAAACCCGGGCAGAGACAAUGGGGCCGAUGGGCUGAACCACAGAAAUCCAGUCUCUCUCUUGUGCUUUAAAAUUAUGGGGCCAGAGAAGUUUGCUGAGACCCCACCCCACCUCCAGCCGAGGGACUGAAGCAUCGUCGGCCCCUGUGCCAAGCUCUUCUCUUUUUGCCUGAUAGCACUCUGCAGCAUAGUGAGUGCUUCCUGGUCCUGCUGGCCACCUCCCUCUCCUGUCCGUACUGAAGGAUGAAGUGUCCUCUCGCUGGUACGAAUAAAAGAUUCCUUAUUAACACAAUUAAGAACACAUUGCCCUCCCAUAAAGAGCAAGACCACGAACAAAAAGAGGGCAGUAAGGAGCCUGGCAAAAGUCAAGACCAGAAGGAAACAAGUGGGAAGAAACACAGAAGCCACUCCUACAAGCGCAGCCUUCACUCAGCCCGGGGCUCAGUGGGCUGCUCUCCUCCAAGGAAGCGGGCCUCCCGGGACAAGUGUGACCCAAGGCCCAGCCGGCGAUGAGAUGGCUGCAGGGCCAGCCCAGCCCGUACUGCACCUGCCACUGGGCGCAGCGAGGCAAGGAGGCCGGGAGGUGGCGGGCUCUGACAUCCGAAAGUGACUUCCUCAGUGGGUCCUUUGUUUUACGGUGUCUCUUGGUACUGUGUUGUUGUUCUUGUUGCUCUUGUUAACAG